GGGCGAAUGGUGGAAUGGCAGACACGUAUGUCUUAGGAACAUAUCUCGCAAGAGGUCUCGGUUCAAGUCCGAGUUCGCCCACCA
rnacentral:tRNA from 1 species